UACGUAGGGUGCAAGCGUUAAUCGGAAUUACUGGGCGUAAAGCGUGCGCAGGCGGUUGUGCAAGACAGAUGUGAAAUCCCCGGGCUUAACCUGGGAACUGCAUUUGUGACUGCAUAGCUAGAGUACGGUAGAGGGGGAUGGAAUUCCGCGUGUAGCAGUGAAAUGCGUAGAUAUCCGGAGGAACACCAGUGGCGAAAGCGGCCACCUGGACCUGUACCUGAC
rnacentral:rRNA from 1 species